rnacentral:rRNA from 1 species
UACGUAGGGUGCAAGCGUUAAUCGGAAUUACUGGGCGUAAAGCGUGCGCAGGCGGUUGUGCAAGACAGAUGUGAAAUCCCCGGGCUCAACCUGGGAACUGCAUUUGUGACUGCACGGCUGGAGUGCGGCAGAGGGGGAUGGAAUUCCGCGUGUAGCAGUGAAAUGCGUAGAUAUGCGGAGGAACACCGACGGCGAAGGCAAUCCCCUGGGCCUGCACUGACGCUCAUGCAUGAAAGCGUGGGGAGCAAACAGG